UACGUAGGGGCCGAGCGUUGUCCGGAGUUACUGGGCGUAAAGCGCGCGCAGGCGGCGCAUCGCGCCCGGCGUGAAAGCCCCCGGCUCAACCGGGGAGGGUCGUCGGGGACGGGUGCGCUUGAGGACGGCAGGGGCAGGUGGAAUUCCCGGUGUAGUGGUGAAAUGCGUAGAGAUCGGGAGGAACACCUGUGGCGAAGGCGGCCGUCUGGGCCGACCCUGACGCUGAGGCGCGAAGGCGUGGGGAGCGAACGGG
rnacentral:rRNA from 1 species